rnacentral:rRNA from 1 species
GACGAACGCUGGCGGCGUGCUUAACACAUGCAAGUCGAACGGUAAGGCCCUUCCGGGGGUACAUGAGUGGCGGACGGGCGGGUAACUAGCGCGUGAUUUGCCUUCCCCUUUCUUUUAAGUCACGGCAACUAGGUCUAAUACAGGACAGGUCUACGCGCCUCAUGCAGUGUGGUGGAAAGCAAUUGCGGGGUGGGGUGGGUCCGCGGCCUCCUUGCGGGUUUGUGGGGUGGUGGGCUACCAAGGAGGCGUCGGGUAGCCGGCCUGAGAGGGUGACCGGCCACACUGGGACUGAGAUACGGCCCAGACUCCUACGGGAGGCAGCAGUGGGGAAUAUUGCACAAUGGGCGCAAGCCUGAUGCAGCGACGCCGCGUGGGGGAUGACGGCCUUCGGGUUGUAAACCGCUUUCGGCACAGACGAAGCGUAAGUGACGGUAUGUGCAAAAGAAGCACCGGCCAACUACGUG